rnacentral:rRNA from 1 species
UACGGAGGAUCCAAGCGUUAUCCGGAAUUACUGGGCGUAAAGAGUUGCGUAGGUGGCAGGGUAAGUAGAUAGUGAAAGCGUGUGGCUCAACCAUACUCACAUUAUCUAAACUGCUCAGCUAGAGGACGAGAGAGGUACCUGGAAUUCCCUGUGUAGGAGUGAAAUCCGUAGAUAUAGGGAGGAACACCGAUGGCGUAGGCAGGGUACUGGCUCGUUCCUGACACUAAGGCACGAAAGCGUGGGUAGCAAACGGG